AGGAGGAAGAAGGAGACAUUGAAAUGGAAGAGGCUCCGAUAGAAAUACAGCGAGGUGCCGGGUAUUCAACCGCCUUGCUUGGAACGUAUAUAUAAUCAACAAAUAAAGGACGCGAAAUACAGCACACUCUUCUCUUAAUACUGAACAUUUUACUAAUGAAUUAUAAAUAGCCUAUAUGCAAGUAUUAUUUACAUAUUUAAUUCGCUACAAACUGCAUACAAUUAUAUGUAAUCACAUAUAAUUAUAUAUAAUCACAUAUAAAAUAAAUACAAUUGUUUGAUGAGAUAAGCUACAAAUACCACUUCCCAGUGACAAUUAAUCUAGAACUUAUAUUUGUCACCAAAAAUUAUGAACAUUAUAAUGUAAUGUGCGCUUUCCCUUUAAUUAAAAUUAUAAUACUAUAAUAACAGAUAGACUGCACUGUUGCUCGUUGCAAAAUGAACAUCUUAAAAUAUCAACCCUGUUUCUACAUACAACUCAUUAAUAUCUAUGUACAACUAUUAUGAUAUACUUUAUACAUUUCUCAAGUAUGAAUUACCACUACGUUCACGAGUGCUUAGAGGAAAACAAGAUAAAUAUAAUU